AUUGAACGCUGGCGGCAGGCCUAACACAUGCACGUCGUGCGAAGCGGUGGACGGGUGAGUAAUGCCUAGGACUCUGCCUGGUAGUGGGGGAUAACGUCCGGAAACGGGCGCUAAUACCGCAUACUAUCAGAUGAGCCUAGGUCGGAUUAGCUCGUUGGUGGGGUAAAGGCCUUCCAAGGCGACGAUCCGUAACUGGUCUGCGAGGAUGAUCAGUCACACUGGAACGGAGAAACGGUCCAGACUCCUACGGGAGGCAGCAGUGGGGAAUAUUGGACAAUGGGCGAAAGCCGGAUACAGCCAUGCCGCGUGUGGUAAGAAGGUCGUCGGAUUGUAAAGCACUUUAAGUUGGUAGGCGUUACCAACAGAAUAAGCACAGGCUAACUUCGUGCCAGCAGCCGCGGUAAUAC
rnacentral:rRNA from 1 species